UUUCAGGCACGAUGGUGGUGGGGGCUACUGCGGGGGCUGUGGUGAUUGCGUGUCUUGUGUGGAGGACAGGAUACCAGCGACCACGAAGGAGUCCCCUCUAGCCUCAUGAUAGGCAUAGGCAAUCUGAUCGAUGGUGGCGCUAGCGAAUGCGUCGAGCAGUCCCACCGCUCCUCACUGACGGACGACGACAAAGCUAUGGACGCUGACAAGGAAAAGGCAGAGAAGGAGAGCGAGGACACAGUCAAUCUGUGUUAAAUCUGUGUUGAGCGAGAUCAAGGCUGAAGCUGUGAAAGAGAGUGCAUCGUUGGAACCAUCCCCGUCGGUGGGCGGCAGGCAGAUACAAAGUAGCUCGGGUGACAUAUCAAACAAGGUAAGAUGAAGUGGUGGCACCAGAGACUUACAGAAGGCCUCGCGCUAGAUCUCAUAUGGGACGGGAC
rnacentral:lncRNA from 1 species